rnacentral:lncRNA from 1 species
GGGGCUAGAAACAUAACUAGGUUGGCUAGGGGCUAGAAACAGAACUAGGUUGGCUAGUUGGUCAGGAGCUAGAAACAGAACUAGGUUGGCUAGUUGGCCAGGAGCUACAAACAGAACUAGGUUGGCUAGUUGGCCAGGAGCUAGAAACAGAACUAGGUUGGCCAGGAGCUAGAAACAGAACUAGGUCGGCCAGGAGCAAGAAACAGAACUAGGAUGGCUAGGAGCUAGAAACAGAACUAGGUUGGCCAGUAGCUAGAAACAGAACUAGGUUGGCUAGUUGGUCAGGAGCUAGAAACAGAACUAGGUUGGCUAGUUGGCCAGGAGCUACAAACAGAACUAGGUUGGCU